rnacentral:rRNA from 1 species
ACGGGUGAGUAACGCGUGGGAAUCUACCCAUCUCUACGGAAUAACGCAUGGAAACGUGUGCUAAUACCGUAUACGUCCUUCGGGAGAAAGAUUUAUCGGAGAUGGAUGAGCCCGCGUUGGAUUAGCUAGUUGGUGGGGUAAAGGCCUACCAAGGCGACGAUCCAUAGCUGGUCUGAGAGGAUGAUCAGCCACACUGGGACUGAGACACGGCCCAGACUCCUACGGGAGGCAGCGGUGGGGAAUAUUGGACAAUGGGCGCAAGCCUGAUCCAGCCAUGCCGCGUGAGUGAUGAAGGCCCUGGGGUUGUAAAGCUCUUUCACCGGUGAAGAUAAUGACGGUAACCGGAGAAGAAGCCCCGGCUAACUUCGUGCCAGCAGCCGCGGUAAUACGAAGGGGGCUAGCGUUGUUCGGAUUUACUGGGCGUAAAGCGCACGUAGGCGGACUAUUAAGUCAGGGGUGAAAUCCCGGGGCUCAACCCCGGAACUGCCUUUGAUACUGGUAGUCUUGAGUUCGAGAGAGGUGAGUGGAAUUCCGAGUGUAGAGGUGAAAUUCGUAGA